GUUGUGAGAUUUUUUGAGGACAACGCGUUGGUGAGCUCGGAUAGUGAUUUGGGGUCUCCGUUUGAGCGGGGCAGCGUUUUGAGGACGUUCGGAAAGGGAAAUCUCCGGAGAAGUGAUUUUGGAGCGCGUGUGAUUGGCCUACAGGUCCGGGCACUAGUAGCCAGUG